GCCCGCGGAGCCUGCGCAGACGGCCUCCCCGCAAGUGCCACCUGCGGCCCGGCGGUCUUCCCACAGGCCCCGCCCUCCGUCCGCGGAGUCUGCGCAGUGGCGGGUCGAGCGUCUUUCCAGUCCCCGCCGGGAUCCGCUCAGUGCGCGUGCAGGCAGCCGCCGGCCGUCGGGGCUCCCAGCUCGGCCUGCCGCAUGUUAGGUGCCACAAUGACGACGGCAUUCGUGCCCGCGAGUCCGUACAGGCUCCGGGGACAUAGGUACCGUUCAUUAUCUCCGCCGUAUUGAAGGAAAAUACGGGCAGAGAUGAGAAGGGUCCGAGGACCCAGGAGUGAGGCGGGCAGGAGAGGUCACUGGGCCUCGGUUUGCACGUCUGUAAAAUGGGGGUAAUAGGAGUGCCUCUCUGACAGGGUUGUUUUGAGGAUCAAUGGAAUUUAUGGACAAUGGCAGGCCCAUAGUGAGGUCUUACUCUUAGUUACUGUAGUCUCCCAGUGUCCAUGACCUGCCUCAAUUAAGCCUGCUAUCAUCCCUUGCACCACAGCCCUUGGGGGAGGGUGCGUGCCGCCUGUACUAGCUUCACAGAUGGGAAGAAAAACUGAGGCUUGGAAAAGUCACUUGCCUGAGGCGGCCAAGCUACUAGGUGAGAAAUUCAGACUCAGAGGCAGCCCCCACCCCCACCCCCACCCCCAAGAAGCUGCUCCGGGGACCCACUGCUGACUCCCAACACUUCCCUGACUCUGAAGGUUAGGUCCUUUCUGAAUACGUUUUGUGAUUAUAAAGGACAAGCCAGGGGAUGAGAUGGGAUGGAGUCGUUUCCAUGAGGGAGAGGAACAAAUGCAUAUGGCACUAAUCAUUAAACAGCUCUGGGGGCCGUAGAUCUCUGUAAAUGACUACAAACUAGGCAAAUAAAACGCAGAGGGAACAAAGCAGUUAUGAUUGAAGGCAAAAAACAAAAAGCAUGGCUCAGACCCAGAAGUUAGGGUGAGACCUCCCCUCUGCCACAGGGCAGCUGUGUGAGCCUUGAGUCUGGUUUCCAGGGAUAUAAAAUGUGGCCACCAGUGGCUACCUUGCUAGGGGCCCAGGACAUUCAGCGUGUCCACCACUGAGGCCCAAAACGUUGGUAACUUAUUUACAUGUACCAUUUUACUAUUUGUCUUGUAUCUCUCCUUUUGUUCGCUCUUCCUUUUGUAUUAAGUGGAUGUUUGCUAGUAUAUUAAUUCCUUUAAUGAUUUUUUUUAAUGUUUAUUUAUUUUGAGAGAGGCGGAGAGAGAGAAUCCCAAGACUCUGGUCUCCGUCCUAUGAACUGUGAGAUGAUUACCUGAGCCAAAAUCAAGAGUCCAAUGUCACCCGGGCGCCCUUCCUGUAAUGAUUUUAAACCUUUUUGUUGUUGUUCUGUCCUUAGCAGUUGCUCUGGGGAUCGCUGUAUACCUUUUUUUCAGAAUUUCAGAAUUUCUACUUGAGAUUUCUACUAGCUUAAUUCCAGGAAGAUCUGGAAACUUCUCCAAACUAGCUUUUACCUCUUCCUGUUCUUGUGCUAUUAUUACUUUUCCACCUCUUCGAUUACAAACCCGGUAAUUCCGUGUUCUAUUACUGUUUUAUAUAAUCUUGGUUUUACAGACGCCGGGAAAAAAAAUGUAUUUAGAAAUACAUUUUUGAUAUUAACCUUAUUUACCAUUUCUAGUCCUCAAUUUGCCCGUGUAGAUCUGAAUUCAACUGUGUAUUACUAAUAUGGUCAAAAGUCACCCAGUCCCCAUUCACUGUAGGUUGCUAGGACAGAAUCUACCCUACACUUCUAUAAGACACCUGUCAUUUGCACAGGCCUGUAUAAGGUUCAAAGAACUUUUGCUGCCUGUGGGUUGUUCUCUUAAGACCCACAAUACCUUGUGGCAAUACAACGUGAUGUCUUAUAGGCCAGGAAACCACCCUGGAUUAAAAAAGGAGAUUGAUUUCCUUUUCUCUGUGUAGACAUGUGGCUGCUUCUCUGACACCAGAAUGUACUUCUGAAACUGACAAAUUCAGUUCUGAAUAUCCCAGGCAGUCAGGAUCAGGCUGCACUGCUCUACAGGGCUAAGUCAGCCCUAACUUGUCCACAUCAACCUGCAUAGAGAGAGGGAGAGCCCGUGUGCACGUAAGAGGGAGACGGGUAGAGAAAGAGAAUCUUAAGCAGGCUCCAGCCCAGUGCAGAGCCCGACUCGGGGCUCAAUCUCACCACCAGCAGAUUAUGACCUGAGAGGAAAUCAGGAGUCGGACGCUUAACCACUGAGCCACCCAGGCGCCCCAAGACAACCAACUUUUUAAUCUGUAAACCGAAGCAGAACACCAGAGACAACUUUUGAACACCUGCUACUCUCCCUGAAAAAAGGAGUUGGGAAGCAAGUACAAAGAAAAAACGGAGUGAAGGCUUUCUGCCUCGAGAGACCUCGUACAGAACUAACACUACUGGUCUACUCUCCAGAAAAGGUCACUUGUAGCAGAUUAUCUAUUUGGCAAAUAAGAGGCACUCCUGACACAUCCACCAAGUCAAAUGGGUCCCAACUGCCUUGUCACGCACGGAGGGAAACCAGUCUGUCCUUGAAGGAGUCAUGGGGCUUGCUUGUCCGUCUGCAGCCUCUGGUUCUUCUAAAUGCUCUAUUUGUCUCGUCUCACCACCACCAACUGUGCCUUCCUCUCCACCCUGGCUGGACUCACAUGCAGAAAAAAGACCCUUCUCUGUUUACCCCCUAAACCCGCUUAGUCAAGGCUGUCACGAGGGAGUGGCUUUGCCCGACCGUUUGGAGGCUGGUUGCAUCACAGCCCAGCAGAUCUCUGUCUUCCAAGUCCGUCCACCGCGCCCCCUGACCCCCGUCCCCAGCAAGGACUCGGCACUGGUAAUAUCCUCAGGAUGUAGCAGCCCCAAGCCCGACUGUCGGUCCUUCUCUUCUAGCUCGCUGGGUCUCAGCCUUGGAAGCAGGUCAGGGUCCCACGGGACAGCUUAGCUCUGUCUCUGUCUCUGCCGGCCGUCCUGACCAUGCCUUCGGUGCUCUCCAGCAACCAACAACGCCAGUCAUCUGUAGAAGCCCACAGCCCACACCUGAAUGAAACAAAGAAGAGCCCCACAAGGGUUCACACGUCCCUGAACCAGAGAAGCUGCUUCUCACGCCACAUCUGGGGGAGCGCAGGACAGAGUGAAAAGUCGCUUUCGUGUCUAACUUGCAUCCUGCCACUAACUGCUUAAAUAAAAGUGUUGAGAAAAAUCAAACCUUGUGACGUUAGGUCCCAGUUUCAAUAAUUCUUUGUGGGCAAAGGAUGACAGUGAAAAAUGAAAGACCUCUAUAUAUAAAAUGUUUAUUACAGGCAAUAUUGGUCCAUACACUACACAAUACCAACAGUACAAGUGUAAUCUUUCAAAAUCAUCGUUUAAACAGCAAAAGACCAAGAAAUAAAAUUUGAGUCGACUGAUUAUUUUUCAAAAUAUUCUCAAUGCACAUUAUCCUUAGUUCCCUUAUUAUAGUGAAACAUACAAAUACAGAAAAAUACCCCAUUUAACAUGUACUAGUGUUAAAUGGUUAUUUGGCUUAAAAUCUGAGUUAAGAAAAUCCUUUUUAGCAACCUACGUACAGAUAAGUAGCAAACUUUAUUAUAUUAAACAAAGUCGUUCCGUUUCAAACCUGUGAAGAAUUUCAUCCAUCACGUAUUCUGGCCCUAGUGUCUACUCUCUCACCGCCGUGGUUCUGAUCCAAAGGACCAACUCAAGGAGUCGUCUUAGACACAACCUCAUCCUCUUCCCCAACACGCUUCAUCCAAAAGUCUGUUCAACAGAUGGCAACCGGGUAGCGGUCACUUCGCCAUGCGAUGCCAAUGGUGCCGCGAGAGCAUGGCCAGACCUGUCAAACAGCCCGUUUUCCUACCUACUGUGGGUUGCUGCUCAGGAGGUACGAUAGACGCCAAUUCAAGCAGAAAGUCUGCGGCUUCUCUGCCACGUGCCUGAGAACACUUUCCAUUUUUUUCUGGUCGAUGCUCUGAUUAGGUAACAUACAUAAAAGCCAGCAUAUUAGUUUAAAUCUUUAAACAAAAAACUAUAUUUUCCAAAGUCAUUAUCAUUUGGGGCGAUUAAGUGAUCUUUUCUUGCUUUGUUGAGCUUCAUCUUUAGGGCGUCCCUCCGCUCUUCCCACUCGUGGAGCUCGGCGUUGCCGUGUGCAAACUUACAGCCGCUUCCUUCUGUGCAGGUGCCGUUCAUAUACCUGCGGGGCAAGUCAGCGCGGUGAGUGCCCGCGAGUGAUUCACACAAACCUGAGGAGCACCUGCUUCACCAGCAAAAAAAAACCCCUUAGUUCAAAACCUUAACCCUACGGGAGUGAC